AUUGAACGCUGGCGGCAUGCCUUACACAUGCAAGUCGAACGGUAGAGGGGCAACCCUCGAGAGUGGCGAACGGGUGAGUAACGCAUCGGAACGUGCCCAGUAGUGGGGGAUAGCCCGGCGAAAGCCGGAUUAAUACCGCAUACGACCUACGGGUGAAAGCGGGGGAUCGCAAGACCUAGCGCUAUUGGAGCGGCCGAUGUCAGAUUAGGUAGUUGGUGGGGUAAAAGCCUACCAAGCCGACGAUCUGUAGCUGGUCUGAGAGGACGACCAGCCACACUGGGACUGAGACACGGCCCAGACUCCUACGGGAGGCAGCAGUGGGGAAUUUUGGACAAUGGACGCAAGUCUGAUCCAGCCAUGCCGCGUGCGGGAAGAAGGCCUUCGGGUUGUAAACCGCUUUUGUCAGGGAAGAAACGCUCUGAGCUAAUACCUCGGAGUAAUGACGGUACCUGAAGAAUAAGCACCGGCUAACUACGUGCCAGCCGCCGCCGUAAGAC
rnacentral:rRNA from 1 species